rnacentral:rRNA from 1 species
UACGGGGGGAGCAAGCGUUGUUCGGAUUUACUGGGCGUAAAGGGCGCGUAGGCGGCCACCGCAAGUCGACUGUGAAAUCUCCGGGCUUAACCCGGAAAGGUCAGCCGAUACUGCGGGGCUAGAGUGCAGAAGGGGCAACUGGAAUUCUCGGUGUAGCGGUGAAAUGCGUAGAUAUCGAGAGGAACACCUGCGGCGAAGGCGGGUUGCUGGGCUGACACUGGCGCUGAGGCGCGAAAGCUAGGGGAGCAAACGGG